UACGGAGGGUGCGAGCGUUGUUCGGAUUCAUUGGGCGUAAAGGGUGCGUAGGUGGCGCCGUAAGUCAGGUGUGAAAUUUCGGAGCUUAACUCCGAAACUGCAUUUGAUACUGCGGUGCUUGAGGACUGGAGAGGAGACUGGAAUUUACGGUGUAGCAGUGAAAUGCGUAGAGACCGUAAGGAAGACCAGUGGCGAAGGCGGGUCUCUGGACAGUUCCUGACACUGAGGCACGAAGGCCAGGGGAGCAAACGGG
rnacentral:rRNA from 1 species